rnacentral:lncRNA from 1 species
CACGGACGCGCCGUGUGCCCGUGCCCUUGCCAAGCGCCGCCCAUGAGCAUGAGGCGCACGCGAGCAAUCCCCGUCCCCCGGCAACGCAAUGGCCGCGCCACGCGACUAGGCGAGGCAGCGCCGCGCCGCACGGGGCCGAGCCACCUGUCAACGAUGCGGAGACGACGCUGGCUACCGAAGAGGAGGAGGUGCCAGAUGGGCUACAGGAUCGUGAAGACAAGCAACCAGAAGCAAUGGGCCGUGGCCGAAGGAAUCAAACGCGCAACUUGCGAUUCGUUAGGCCAGAAUGGACCGUGUAACCCAGCUGAGCUGACGCGUGUGGCGUGUGUGUUGGCUAUAUGUAACAGAACUAGCUGGUAUUAGAGAGUAUGAACUAUGAACACGACGGCGGCGGCGGCUCCAUCCUAUCGGAUUGGAGAGUUCCUUGUAUCGUAUUCGUGAAUUCCAUCAAUACAAUCCACCCUCUAUUUGCUGCA